AGUACCCCUCGACCCCUGGUCGGACUUGGACGCUGCCGUGUUCUCGGCUCGUCUCGAAAUUCAUUAGGCCCCUCGCGACCCAGCGAGCGUUGUAAGCUUUCGCUCGCCGUCGUCAAAGGAGCUUUGGUCCCGGAAGGGACGAGCCGUGCUCUCGAA
rnacentral:misc_RNA from 1 species